rnacentral:SRP_RNA from 1 species
GCUGGGCAUGGUGGUGCAUGCCUGUAAUCCUAGCUACUUGGGAGGCUGAGGAAGGAGAAUUGCUUGAACCCGGGAGGUGGGGGUUGCAGUGAGCCAAUAUCACGCCACUGCACUCCAGCCUGGGUGACAGUGCAAGACUCCAUCUCAA